rnacentral:tRNA from 1 species
UCCCCGAUAGCUCAGUCGGUAGAGCGCCGGACUGUUAAUCCGUAGGUCCCU